rnacentral:tRNA from 1 species
UUAAUUGAAGCCAAAGUAGAGGCAUUCUAUUGUUAAUAGAAAAAAUGAUAAUUAUCCAAUUAAA